ACAAUCCACAAGAUUUUUUUUUUUUUGGUGAGAUCACAAUCCACAAGAUUAGAAAAAUACUACUACUUAUUAACUUCAUGGAUAAUAUCAAAUAAUAUCGUAUUUAUUGUGUAUACUAAAUUCGUAUUUUCAUAAAAUAAUACUUCAUCAUUUGUCUGCAGACACAAAAUAAUCAGAUUAAAAAAAAAAAGAUUAAGAAAAUAUCUCAUGAAAAGAACAUGACUCCUAAUUUUGAGCUAGACAACCAAAUCCCAAACUAAUAAUUAAUUUCCAUUCCAAGAUGUUCUUAUUGAUUUGUUAUGCAUUCAAUUUCUUUGUCUUUCUUUUCGUUGUAUAAAUAUUUUAUACAUUUUCCCCCUGUUUUCCUGUUAUGGUCUUAUUUAAUUAAUUGUAGGGUUCACAAAUAAUAAUAGACGAGAAGAAAAUAGUAUUUUUUUUUUUUUUUUUUGCAAAUAGAAAAUAAAUGUAACUUAUAGCUGAAUGACGACGAGCCAUCAACUUCUUUAAACCAAUAAAAUUAUAAAAACGUCGGUAGCUGUUAGUAUCCAAAAUGUAACUACACAUAAAAAUGUGUAUUGAGGUCGUGGAUGUAACAAUUUUGACACAUGAGUGUAUUUACAAACACAUUUGGAAACUGAAAGAUGUGGAAACU
rnacentral:lncRNA from 1 species